rnacentral:tRNA from 1 species
AACAAUAUGGCAGACAAUUGCACUAAGUUUAAGCCUUAGAUAUUCCUAUAGCCA